rnacentral:sRNA from 1 species
UGCAUCUGCAGCUCAUGAGGAUGAGAACCUCCGGGGGCGGGGAGGUUCGACUCGAGCGAAGCGAGAGAACGUUGCGCCAGCAACGGCCCGCAGGGCGAGCCACGAAAGUGGCGAGUAAUCCUCUAUCACCGACCA